CUGGAAUGUUCACCUUUGAGUUUGUUGGCUGUGUUGCUGGGGAAAUGACUUGGUCCACUAUCCAAGGAACCUACUAUCUUUUCAGAAUGAUCUCUCCUCAUUAAAAUAAAAGCUACCAGCCAAACCCUUGAGAACAAUGCCAUCUAACACUUGAAAAUGCUGCUGGGUGGACAAGACUCAUUCUUCAGCUCCGGAUCAACAGAAGAAUUAUAUGGAGGAGUCUUUUAUGUACCUGGAGUUGGAUUUCUAAUUUGGGAACACCUACAAUUACCAAAGCCUCUCCAGUUUCUGAAAACUCUCCUGGGAGUUUGGAGAAUACUGCAAAGCCUACUACUUCAGGAUUCCAGCAUAUAGAAAAGACCAGCUGAGACAUCUAACCUUACAAACUGAACGUCUACCGAAUUCUUGGACCUUGGACCUGUUCAUAGGCAGCCAUUGUUGGAUUAGUUGAACCACAGCCUGACUGUAUCCCAUAAGAUGGUAUCACACAUUCAGGUGCCAGUUGUGAAGUACUUCCUUAAGCUGACCUAAUAGCUGCACCAUGUUUGUGAACUUUAAACUUGAUCAAAUAUACACUCAGAAGUGUGUCUCCUUGGUGACUAUAAAUCCAAUCAAGUUGACAAUAGUGAGCUGUCUGAAAGCUGAAGAUAAAGUAGAA
rnacentral:lncRNA from 1 species